rnacentral:misc_RNA from 1 species
AACGCACAUUGCGCCCCUUGGUAUUCCAUUGGGCAUGCCUGUUCGAGCGUCAUUUAACCCUUCAAGCUCACGCUUGGUGUUGGGCGUCUGUCCGCGCUUUCGGGCGUGGACUCGCCCCAAAUCCAUUGGCAGCGGCUCCGCCGGCUUCUCGCGCAGCACUUUGCGCUCAGGAAGACCUUCGGCGGGCUCGCGUCCAUCAAGUCACCCCUCAUUUUGACCCCGAAUCAGGUAGGGAUACCCGCUGAACUUAA